rnacentral:rRNA from 1 species
GUAGGGAAUCUUCCGCAAUGGACGCAAGUCUGACGGAGCAACGCCGCGUGAGUGACGAAGGUUUUCGGAUCGUAAAACUCUGUUGUGAGGGAAGAACACGUACCAACUAACUAUUGGUACCUUGACGGUACCUCACCAGAAAGCCACGGCUAACUACGUGCCAGCAGCCGCGGUAAUACGUAGGUGGCAAGCGUUGUCCGGAAUUAUUGGGCGUAAAGCGCGCGCAGGCGGUUCCUUAAGUCUGAUGUGAAAGCCCACGGCUCAACCGUGGAGGGUCAUUGGAAACUGGGGAACUUGAGUGCAGAAGAGGAAAGUGGAAUUCCACGUGUAGCGGUGAAAUGCGUAGAGAUGUGGAGGAACACCAGUGGCGAAGGCGACUUUCUGGUCUGUAACUGACGCUGAGGCGCGAAAGCGUGGGGAGCAAACAGGAUUAGAAACCCCUGUAGUCC